UACGUAGGGUGCAAGCGUUGUUCGGAAUUACUGGGCGUAAAGGGAGCGUAGGCGGGAACCUAAGUUAGGAGUUUAAUUCUCGGGCUUAACUCGAGGCCUGCUCUUAAUACUGGGUUUCUUGAGUAUUGAAGAGGAUGAUGGAAUUCCAGGUGUAGCGGUGGAAUGCGUAGAUAUCUGGAAGAACACCAGUAGCGAAGGCGGUCAUCUGGUCAAAUACUGACGCUGAGGCUCGAAAGCUAGGGGAG
rnacentral:rRNA from 1 species